UAGGGAAUAUUGCAAAAUGGGCGAAAGCCCGAUGCAGCAACGCCGCGUGGGCGAUGAAGGCCUUCGGGUCGUAAAGCCCUUUUUGAGGGGAUGAGGAAGGACAGUACCCUCAGAAUAAGUCUCGGCUAACUACGUGCCAGCAGCCGCGGUAAAACGUAGGAGACAAGCGUUAUCCGGAGUUACUGGGCGUAAAGGGCGUGCAGGUGGCGUCUUAAGUCUGUUGUGAAAGCGCCUGGCUUAACCGGGCGAGGCCAAUGGAGACUGAGAGGCUGGAGGACGGCGGAGGGGUGUGGAAUUCCGGGUGUAGUGGUGAAAUGCGUAGAGAUCCGGAGGAACACCAGAGGCGAAGGCGGCACUCUAAGCCGUACCUGACACUGAGACGCGACAGCACGGGGAGCAAACG
rnacentral:rRNA from 1 species